GAUGAACGCUGGCGGCGUGCCUAAUACAUGCAAGUCGAGCGAACAGACGAGGAGCUUGCUCCUCUGACGUUAGCGGCGGACGGGUGAGUAACACGUGGAUAACCUACCUAUAAGACUGGGAUACCUUCGGGAAACCGGAGCUAAUACCGGAUAAUAUAUUGAACCGCAUGGUUCAAUAGUGGAAGACCGUUUUGCUGUCACUUAUAGAUGUAUCCGCGUCGCAUUAGCUAGUUGGUAAGGUAACGGCAUACCAAGGCAACGAUGCGUAGCCGAGCUGAGAGGGUGAUCAGCCACACUGGAACUGAGACACGGUCCAGACUCCUACGGGAGGCAGCAGUGGGGAAUAUUCGGCAAUGGGCGAAAGCCUGAUGGAGCAACGCCGCGUGAGUGAUGAAGGUCUUCGGAUCGUAAAACUCUGUUAUUAGGGAAGAACAGAUGUGAAUGUAAAUAUGCACGUCUUGACGGUACCUAAUGAGAAAGCCACGGCUAACUUCGUG
rnacentral:rRNA from 1 species